AGAGUUUGAUUCUGGCUCAGGAUGAACGCUGGCGGCGUGCCUAACACAUGCAAGUCGAGCGGAGAUAGGUUGAAGCCUAGCGAUUCCUAUCUUAGCGGCGGAUGGGUGAGUAACACGUGGGUAACCUGCCCUGUACUGGGGGAUAACAGCUGGAAACGGCUGUUAAUACCGCAUAUGCGCACGGAGCCGCAUGGCCCUGGGCGGAAAGAUUCAUCGGUACAGGAUGGGCCCGCGCCGGAUUAACUUGUUGGCGGGGUAACGGCUCACCAAGGUGAUGAUCCGUAGCCGACCUGAGAGGGUGACCGGCCACAUUGGGACUGAGACACGGCCCAAACUCCUACGGGAGGCAGCAGUGGGGGAUAUUGCACAAUGGGGGAAACCCUGAUGCAGCGACGCCGCGUGAAGGAAGAAGUAUUUCGGUAUGUAAACUUCUAUCAGCGGGGAAGAAGAUGACGGUACCCGCACAAGAAGCCCCGGCUAACUACGUGCCAGCCGCGGC
rnacentral:rRNA from 1 species